CCUACGGGAGGCAGCAGUGGGGAAUAUUGGACAAUGGGCGAAAGCCUGAUCCAGCAAUGCCGCGUGAGUGAAGAAGGCCUUCGGGUUGUAAAGCUCUUUUACCCGGGAUGAUAAUGACCGUACCGGGAGAAUAAGCCCCGGCUAACUCCGUGCCAGCAGCCGCGGUAAUACGGAGGGGGCUAGCGUUGUUCGGAAUUACUGGGCGUAAAGCGUGCGUAGGCGGCUUUGUAAGUCAGAGGUGAAAGCCCACGGCUCAACCGUGGAAUUGCCUUUGAGACUGCAUCGCUUGAACACGGGAGAGGUGAGUGGAAUUCCGAGUGUAGAGGUGAAAUUCGUAGAUAUUCGGAAGAACACCAGUGGCGAAGGCGGCUCACUGGACCGUUGUUGACGCUGAGGCACGAAAGCGUGGGGAGCAAACAGGAUUAGAUACCC
rnacentral:rRNA from 1 species